AAAUACCUGUGAGGUGCUAUAAGUAACUAAAACAAACACCUUUUAAAAUGUUUCUAGAGUACACACAAGAAGAAAAGUAACCACUAGAUUGUAGAGACUGGGGAGGACCUCUUUCUUAAUGUCCAGUGUCCUCUGUCGUAAGAUCUGGUGCAAUAUGU